GACGAACGCUGGCGGCGUGCCUAAUACAUGCAAGUCGAACGCACAGUUUAUACCGUAGCUUGCUACACCAUAAACUGUGAGUUGCGAACGGGUGAGUAACGCGUAGGUAACCUGCCUGGUAGCGGGGGAUAACUAUUGGAAACGAUAGCUAAUACCGCAUCAUAUUGAUUAUUGCAUGAUAAUUGAUUGAAAGAUGCUAUUGCAUCACUACCAGAUGGACCUGCGUUGUAUUAGCUAGUAGGUGAGGUAACGGCUCACCUAGGCGACGAUACAUAGCCGACCUGAGAGGGUGAUCGGCCACACUGGGACUGAGACACGGCCCAGACUCCUACGGGAGGCAGCAGUAGGGAAUCUUCGGCAAUGGACGAAAGUCUGACCGAGCAACGCCGCGUGAGUGAAGAAGGUUUUCGGAUCGUAAAGCUCUGUUGUAAGAGAAGAACGGGUGUGAGAGUGGAAAGUUCACACUGUGACGGUAUCUGACCAGAAAGGGACGGCUAACUACGUG
rnacentral:rRNA from 1 species